rnacentral:rRNA from 1 species
ACUAACAAGGAUUCCCCUAGUAACUGCGAGUGAAGCGGGAAAAGCUCAAAUUUAAAAUCUGAGGGUCUUUAUGGCCUUCCGAGUUGUAAUCUAGAGAAGUGCUAUCCGCGCUGGACCGUGUACAAGUCUCCUGGAACGGAGCGUCAUAGAGGGUGAGAAUCCCGUCUUUGACACGGACUACCAGGGCUUAUGUGAUACGCUCUCAAAGAGUCGAGUUGUUUGGGAAUGCAGCUCUAAAUGGGUGGUAAAUUCCAUCUAAAGCUAAAUAUUGGCGAGAGACCGAUAGCGAACAAGUACCGUGAGGGAAAGAUGAAAAGAACUUUGGAAAGAGAGUUAAAAAGUACGUGAAAUUGUUGAAAGGGAAACGCUUGAAGUCAGUCGCAUUGGCCAGGGAUCAACCUUGCUUUUGCUUGGUGUAUUUUCUGGUUAAUGGGUCAGCAUCAAUUUUGAUCGGUGGAAAAGGAUCAAGGGAAUGUGGCAUCUUCGGAUGUGUUAUAGCCCUUGGUUGUAUACAUCGAUUGGGAUUGAGGAGCUCAGCACGCCGCAAGGCCGGGUUUUUAACCACGUACGUGCUUAGGAUGCUGGCAUAAUGGCUUUAAUCGACCCGUCUUGAAACACGGACCAAGGAGUCUAACAUGCACGCGAGUGUUUGGGUGGAAAACCCGAGCGCGUAAUGAAAGUGAAAAUUGAGAUCCCUGUCGUGGGGAGCAUCGAUGCCCGGACCAGAUCUUUUGUGACGGUUCCGCGGUUGAGCGUGUAUGCUGGGACCCGAAAGAUGGUGAACUAUGCCUGAAUAGGGUGAAGCCAGAGGAAACUCUGGUGGAGGCGCGUAGCGAUUCUGACGUGCAAAUCGAUCGUCAAAUUUGGGUAUAGGGGCGAAAG